CCCAAGUAAUUACUAAGUGGUAAAGGUAGUGGAAAGGCUUAGACAACCAGGAGGUUUGCUUAGAAGCAGCAAUCCUUUAAAAAGUGCGUAAUAGCUUACUGGUCUAGCAGUUCUGCGCCGAAAAUUUAUGGGACUAAGUAAUUCGCCGAAGCUGUGAGAUAUACAAUUUGUAUAUCGGUAGGGGAGCGUUCCAUGGUAGGCUGAAGUGUUAGCGAAAGCGGAUAUGGACGAAAUGGAAGUGAGAAUGUCGGAUUGAGUAACGAAAACAUUGGUGAGAAUCC
rnacentral:rRNA from 12 species